GACUACUGGGGUAUCUAAUCCUGUUUGCUACCCACGCUCUCGUCCCUGAGGGUCAGUUGCAGGCCAGCAGACCGCCUUCGCCAUCGGUGUUCUUCCAGAUAUCUACGCAUUCCACCGCUACACCUGGAAUUCCGUCUGCCCAUCCUGCACUCCAGCCCGCCCGUACCCGCCGCAGGUUCAGGGUUGAGCCCUGAAAUUUCACGGCGGGCGUGGCAGGCCCCCUGCGGACCCUUUACGCCCAGUAAAUCCGAAUAACGCUCGCCACCCACGUGUUACCGCGGCUGCUGGCACGUGGUUAGCCGUGGCUUCCUUUCCCGGUACCGUCAUUUGUUUCGUCCCGGGUGACAGAGGUUUACGACCCGAAGGCCUUCUUCCCUCACGCGGCAUCGCUCCGUCAGGCUUGCGCCCAUUGCGGAAGAUUCUCGACUGCAGCCCCCCGUAGG
rnacentral:rRNA from 1 species